rnacentral:rRNA from 1 species
AGUGAAGCGGGAAAAGCUCAAAUUUGAAAUCUGGUGGUCUUUGGCCGUCCGAGUUGUAAUUUAGAGAAGCGUCUUCCGCGCUGGACCGUGCACAAGUCUCCUGGAACGGAGCGUCGUAGAGGGUGAGAAUCCCGUCUUUGGCAUGGACACACCAGGGCUUUUGCGAUGCGCUCUCGAAGAGUCGAGUUGUUUGGGAAUGCAGCUCAAAAUGGGUGGUGAACUCCAUCUAAAGCUAAAUAUUGGCGAGAGACCGAUAGCGAACAAGUACCGUGAGGGAAAGAUGAAAAGCACUUUGGAAAGAGAGUGAAACAGUACGUGAAAUUGUUGAAAGGGAAACGCUUGAAGUCAGUCGCGUCGUCCGAGACUCAGCCUCGCCUCGGCUUGGUGUACUUCUCGGCCCGACGGGUCAGCAUCAAUUUCGCCUCUCGGAUAAUGGCGAGGGAAAAGUGACACCAUUACGGUGUGUUAUAGUCUCUCGUCGCAUGCGAGGGUCGGGAUUGAGGAACUCAGCACGCGCCCUCGGGCGUCGGGGUUUUUGCCCACGAUACGUGCUUAGGAUGUUGGCGUAAUGGCUUUAAACGACCCGUCUUGAAACACGGACCAAGGAGUCUAACAUGCCUGCGAGUGUUCGGGUGGAAAACCCGUGCGCGCAAUGAAAGUGAAAGUUGGGACCUCCGUCGUGGAGGGCACCGACGCCCGGACCAGACCUUCUGUGACGGCUCUGCGGUAGAGCAUGCAUGUUAGGACCCGAAAGAUGGUGAACUAUGCCUGAAUAGGGUGAAGCCAGAGGAAACUCUGGUGGAGGCUCGUAGCGAUUCUGACGUGCAAAUCGAUCGUCAAAUUUGGGUAUAGGGGCGAAAGACUAAUCGAACCAUCUAGUAGCU